rnacentral:rRNA from 1 species
UUUCCUACGGGGGGCAGCAGUGAGGAAUAUUGGUCAAUGGGAGAGAUCCUGAACCAGCCAAGCCGCGUGAGGGAAGACGGCCCUAUGGGUUGUAAACCUCUUUUGUCGGAGAACAAAACCCGGGACGUGUCCCGGACUGCGUGUAUCCGAAGAAAAAGCAUCGGCUAACUCCGUGCCAGCAGCCGCGGUAAUACGUAGGGGGCAAGCGUUAUCCGGAUUUACUGGGUGUAAAGGGAGCGUAGACGGCAUAGCAAGUCUGAAGUGAAAGCCCGUGGCUCAACCGCGGAACUGCUUUGGAAACUGUU